UGGGGAAUUUUGCGCAAUGGGGGAAACCCUGACGCAGCAACGCCGCGUGAGUGAUGAAGGCUUUCGGGUCGUAAAGCUCUGUCUAGGGGAAGAAAUGAUAUUCGGUUAAUACCCGGAUUUCUUGACGGUACCUCUGAAGGAAGCACCGGCUAACUCCGUGCCAGCAGCCGCGGUAAUACGGAGGGUGCAAGCGUUGUUCGGAUUUAUUGGGCGUAACGCGCGUGUAGGCGGUUUGUUAAGUCUGAUGUGAAAGCCCUAGGCUCAACCUGGGAAGUGCAUUGGAAUCUGGCAGACUUGAAUACGGGAGAGGGUAGUGGAAUUCCUAGUGUAGGAGUGAAAUCCGUAGAUAUUAGGAGGAACACCGGUGGCGAAGGCGGCUACCUGGACCGAUAUUGACGCUGAGACGCGAAAGCGUGGGGAGCAAACA
rnacentral:rRNA from 1 species